CUCCCUUUCUUCUUCCUCCCGCGCGCAAACCCCUCUCUCUCCAUUUUUUUUCUUCUUCUCCUUCCUGUACCCUAGCCGCACGCCUCCCUCUCUUCCCUUCCGUUCGCCGCAGCCCAACCGCCGGCUGUCUCCCCUCUCCUUUCUCCUCUGUUUGCUUCCCAGCGCCGCGUGACCGUCCGCCCAGCCCCGCCGCGCAACCUCUGUCUCCGUCGAAGCCAAGUCCAGCCGUACGCCGUCUCUCCAUCACGAAUCACUCUGUUUCGCGAAGCUCCGCCGCUCCACCUGCUAUCGACGUCGGCUGACUAGUUGCUGUAACCGUUCAGAUUUGUUGUAACCGUUCAGAUUCGCGGUUUGUUCGCGUCGAUCUCCAUCUGUGAAGCCCAGCCGCCACAUCUCCUUUAGCCGACCGCUGACCGACCCACACUUAGGAUUUUUAUUGCGAGUUCGACAGUCGUGCGUCAAGGUGUGCCGCUGCCUCUGUUUUACAAUCUUAUCGAGGUUGCUUUGUUGGUGUUGGGAGUAACGUUGGGCCCCUUAAAUUCACAACCAAUUUGUGAAUUGUUGAGGGUUCAGUUCGCCAAUACUUCGGUGAGUUGGAACUUACGUUGAGGAAAGUAAGUGAGAUAUGUAUCGUGAAAGUAAUCGAAUUUUGUAUUGUUAGGCUUAGGAUUGUUUCGUGGACGUUAGUUGAUUAAGGAGGUUCCCUAACUUUGAGGUAAGGGACUUUCUACUGGACUCACCUAAAAUUUUGAGUUAUGUUGGACUGUAUGGUUAAAUUGGAAUUUAGUGUAUAUUGUGUUUAACUAGGAAAGACAGAUAUAUUUAUGUAUGGAAUGAUGUGGACUUGGUAUUGAGUGCAUGCUGUGACUGACUGGAUGUGACUGACUGGAUAUGUAUUUUUACACAUAUGGAUUUUGAAUGACCGAAAGUUAUAGAUGUUCUUGCUUAAAUGUAGGGUGGAACUGGUAGAUUGUCGUUUGACUGAAUAUAUGAUAUAUGGUUAUGAUUGUGUUUCUGUGAAUUGAGGAAAGGUCGUGGUUGUGUCCUUGUAGACUAAAGUGGAUGUUAUGAUUGUUUAGUUGUUCACUGA